UACGAAGGGGGCUAGCGUUGCUCGGAAUCACUGGGCGUAAAGCGCACGUAGGCGGCUUUUUAAGUCAGAGGUGAAAUCCUGGAGCUCAACUCCAGAACUGCCUUUGAUACUGGAGAGCUUGAGUCCGGGAGAGGUGAGUGGAACUGCGAGUGUAGAGGUGAAAUUCGUAGAUAUUCGGAAGAACACCGGUGGCGAAGGCGGCGACCUGGUCCGACACUGACGCUGAGGCGCGAAAGCGUGGGGAGCAAACAGGAUUGAGAAACC
rnacentral:rRNA from 1 species